GACGAACGCUGGCGGCGUGCCUAAUACAUGCAAGUAGGACGCAGUUGCGAACGGGUGAGUAACGCGUAGGUAACUACCUAUUAGAGGGGGAUAACUAUUGGAAACGAUAGCUAAUACCGCAUACUAGUAGAUGGACCUGCGUUGUAUUAGCUAGUAGGUCGGGUAAUGGCCUACCUAGGCAACGAUACAUAGCCGAGCUUGGAGGGUGAUCGGGCAAACUGGGAACGAGAAACGGCCCAGACUCCUACGGGAGGGAGCAGGAGGGGAUCUUCGGACAUGGGGGGAACCCUGACCGCGCAACGCCGCGUGAGUGAAGAAGGGUUUCGGAUCGUAAAGCUCUGUUGUUAAGGAAGCGGUACUUAACCAGAAAGGGACGGCUAACUACGUGCCAGCCGCCGCGGUAAUUC
rnacentral:rRNA from 1 species